CCCCUGCUGUGUACGAUAUGGCUUGGUUUUUUGUUCCAACACUAAUAGAAUGGGGUCUCUGAGCUCUGUGGUGUGCAUGCCCUUUGCGGGGAAGCCUGAAGCAGCAGUAUUGGGAACCCACUUGGUAUACCGGGAUCAAAAAACUAAACGUAGCGGCACAAUAGUG
rnacentral:other from 1 species